AAGACUAUACUUGCAGGGAUCAAAUACAGGUCUGUAAGACAGAAGUCACUAUGACUAUGUAGAGCACCCGGGACCAGGGGGAAGGAAUUCCCUCCUGAGUGUGAGUCUGGCUCUUGGCAUUGCUUUUCCGUAGCUGCCUCUUGCCACUGGUGAUCAAUUUUCUCUUUCUUUGGGAGAGGAAGAAAGAGGGAAUGCAGUCUGAGUGGG